rnacentral:rRNA from 1 species
UACGGAGGGGGCUAGCGUUGUUCGGAAUUACUGGGCGUAAAGCGCGCGUAGGCGGCUUUGUAAGUCAGGGGUGAAAGCCCAGAGCUCAACUCUGGAAUAGCCCUUGAGACUGCAUCGCUUGAAUCCAGGAGAGGUGAGUGGAAUUCCGAGUGUAGAGGUGAAAUUCGUAGAUAUUCGGAAGAACACCAGUGGCGAAGGCGGCUCACUGGACUGGUAUUGACGCUGAGGUGCGAAAGCGUGGGGAGCAAACAGG